GUAGACUGUCCGAUGAACUGAUCGCUAGCACAUGCGAAGGAAAACAGCAUAAAGCUGUUUAGUAUAUAUGUGCGGCUGGUACCAUCUGGAGUAGCGUCGACAGUGAAUACAUCCCCGAAGAGGCCGUCCCCGAAGUGACCGUUACGACUGCUCCGCCACAAGACUGCUCGUCGCCCGGAGUGACCUAUCUUCCUGGAGCAACGUGCAAAGAGUUUAUCCAGUGUAACGCUGGGCAACCGGUGACGAAGCGUUGUGGGAUUGCAACAAAGUGGGACCAGUCCUUGCUGGCGUGCGUCGGUGGGACAUGCUAGUCUCUGCCGGUUUAGAGACUGUCGAAACAUAAUGAAAACACAAGGUGUACAUUGACGGGAUUCGAACUGGAUGCGGCGCGUGCAUGUGAUCUGGCUAAAAAAAAAAAACGAAUUGGAAAUACAUUAUUUUCAGUGAGAGCAUCUAGACUGGAUACGUGCAAUGCGUGCGUCUGCAAAACGCAUGCGGUCAGCCAGCAAUGAAAUAACGGUAUAUUGUGUAUAUGCUCCAAACUCGAAUCGCAGACGUAACAAUCGCAACAGUCUAUACGAGUCUUUAAACAAUAAAGCUGAAAUCACCUGUUUUGAGUCAUGUACGAUAUUAAUCCACUAUUGGAUUAGCAGCUGUUUUGUUUGUUAUCGUUAGGGUCUGAGUUAAAGUUGGGAAGUAUACUUAGUGUAGAGUAACUAUCUGAAGGAAUACUGCUUUUAUAAUUCUUUAUUAUAUUAUAUUAAUAUUAUAUUAAUAUUAUAUUAUAUUAAUAUUAUAUUAUAUUAUAUUAUAUUAUAUUAUAUUAUAUUAUAUUAUAUUAUAUUAUAUUAUAUUAUAUUAUACGUG
rnacentral:misc_RNA from 1 species